rnacentral:lncRNA from 1 species
AGGGUUCAUUCAAAAUUUGAAAACUUUUUCAUCCAAAUACGCUCCAACAAAUAUCUUAAAUAUCUUAAAUUCUGCAUAUAUUGACCUGCUCUUCAUCUUCGUCCAAUUGAAUCGAUCAAUCGACCUUUACAACAUUAACCAUCAUCCAAACAUCAGCCACUAUCACUGAUGUCCUAGGGUUCGCCAUACCCAUCGUCACCACCAAUCCCCCAUCUAUAAAUCCUCAAAAUCUCGCUGCUAGAGUAUUUAAGAGUUUAUCGCUUGGGUUGCUUGCCCUGAUAUCUGCAUUACGUCAACAUAUUUUUUCAUCAUAUGUACACUUAUUAGUUAACAUUUGGUGGUAUAUACUUUGUAGCUUACAACGUGAACUGAAGGUCACCCUAGAUUUGCUUCCAAAUCAAUUUGGGUCCAAAAGUAGCUUCCAAUAUGUCUGUACAAACACAUAUGCAGCAAGGUGGAUCAAACUCGAAAGGAGAAAAAAGAUAGAAAGUUUAAGUAGAGGCCUGAUUGAGUAUUUUGAAUUUGGUGAGAAGUUCUAGGAAGAAUUUUUCCCUAAAAUGAUAUCUUUAUCGAUCUGUAAACCCCAAAACAUCUUCAAUCUAAAAAAUCAAAAUGAAUACCACCAAGGCCUCUCUCUGAACCUUCACUAUCUAAACAUCUAUUUUUAACUAUGUAUGUGUAUCGAUUUAUGGAUUUGGAUCUAAAUCUGGACACUAGAAACAUCAAUUUUAUCCCUAUUUGAUUUAGUUUUUAUUUGGAUUUACAGGUAUGGUUUGGACAACUUAGGCAUGGCCAUUUCGAUGAACAACAGAAUUAGGAGUAAGUUGUAGAAGGAGGAGGAACAACCGUUGAUGCAGUAAAAGUAGGAAAUUUUUUAUUUUUUGUGUUUUGUAUAAUUCUCUGUUUUAAUGGGUAUGGUUGUCUGUUUUUCGUUUUUGUGUUUUUCUUAAGGGAAAAAGGCCUUGCUCAUGAUGUACAAAGGAUUAUGGAGCAGGUUUGUCACUCCCAUCUUUUUUUGUUUUAAGAAACCAACCCAUAGCCUUGUAGUCCAUGUCUCCUUAUAUCGAUUUUUGUAUCCUAUUUUUUGGUUCCAUGUCUAUCAGUGACUGGGUUGGAUAUGAACAUGAUGACCAGUUUUGAUCAACUAUAUGGUUUUAUCAACGAUUAAGUAAGAAAUUAAAAAUCAUAUCAAGCACAACUAAACCUGAUAUACUUUUUAAUAGUUUAAUAAUUGUUUCACUUAUUUUUAUUGGAAAUUUGCAAUUGAUUCUUCUGUUUGAAUGUGUCUUGGAGUUUUUUUCUUAUUGUUUUGUUAGUUUAGGGUUUUGUUGAAAAUAUAACCACACUCUUUUCCUCAUUUUGUUAGUGAGGAUACCGUAUGUAUUUGUUAGUACAUUGACCUCUGUUUAUGUACAAGUCUUGAUUUGGAUUUCUUAUUUUUUUUUUUAUUGCAGAUGAAGCUUCUACAUUUUUAAAGAAAAAAGUUUCAGCUGCUGCUAGAGGUGCACAAAAAAACCAAUUCACGAUCCGAACCGGUUUCCGAACUGAAAACCGGUUCACCCCCGGCCCAAGCUAGAACCAAUCCGAUGCAAAACCAAACCGCCAGUUUGUAUAGGUUUAGAAAUAUAUAUGUUGGCACCGGUUUAGAACCGCUUUAAUGAGAACCAGUUUGCAGAACCUGUUUAGAACCGGUGUAGAAUCGGUUUUUCGAAGUUACCUAAAUAUAUAUAUUUUAACAAAAGUUAAUUGAAACAAACAAAAGGAUUAACGAGGAAACAAAAGCAAAGCAUGCUUAAAGGAUGAAGCAAUUGUUUCUAGAAGGCAAAACAUGCUUAAAGAAGGGGACAACUUUAUACUUUCCAUGUGAAAUUCCUGCACAAACCAUAGUUGACCAUUUUACCCCUGCACAAUUUUAUCUCCUUCUUUGGUGCACCUGAACCAACAAGAAAGGAGCAAUUGUUUCAAAAAGAAACAUUGCCUUCUCUUUUUUUGGUAUCUCAUAAUAUGAUGUUGUGUUCUUACAAUGUUGGUAUUGCAAUUGUGUUAGAAUUUAGCUUAACAGUAAAAGAAGAGAUGGAGUUUUUUUUUACGUGAAAUGCAUGGAGACACAACUUAUUGCUUACUGUCAAACUCUUCCUGCUUCAAACCAUAUUUCAUACAAGUGGUUUUUUUUUGAUCGGUGUCAUAUGAACCGGUUUGGAACCUAAUGGAACCGGUUUGCAAAAUUCACAUAUUUUUAUUGACGAACCGGUUAGGCUUGAACGGGUGUUAACUUUGUUGACCUGACCCGAACCGGUUUGGAAAAAAAAAACCCGGUUUGUGCACCUCUAGCUGCAGUUAGGAAAACUUCAGACCAUUUAUUGGAACUACGGUGGCUUCCUGAUAUUCCAUUUGUCUUUGCAAGCUUUCUGGUCACAACAGUUUUCAAUUUGCUUUAAUUCUUAUUGAUUUCACUUAAAUAUUAUUAGUUUUCAUCUAUAUCUGGAUUCUGACAUUUUUUAAAAAUUUAUUAAUUUUUUCCCAAGGAAGCACAAUUAGAGUCUUACAAAUGUUUGCUAUGUC